rnacentral:misc_RNA from 1 species
UUCUGCUAGAACCUUUGUAAUUGCAGCAGUAAGAGUAGUCUUUCCAUGAUCAACGUGUCCUAUAGUUCCCACAUUUACAUGAGGUUUUGUUCGAGUGAAGGUGGCCAUAGAUCUCCACCAUGGAUUAGAAAGACUGGAAGUAUCAUUUCCAUUUUUCGUUUCGGAGAGCAAAAACUGAGUGGAAACUGAUCCUCCUCUACAACACGAGUAGAUUUGAGGAGAGAGUGACAACACGCGCUUCGAAUUGGGAUUUCUGAAAACGACGGACGCCAUUGAAGAAGCUACGAAGCUGGAAAUGGCGUUGAGGGGUAUUUGAAGGGUUUAGG